rnacentral:rRNA from 1 species
GACAAACGCUGGCGGCGUGCCUAACACAUGCAAGUCGAGCGCGAAAGGGACCUUCGGGUCCCCUGAAAGCGGCGAACGGGUGAGUAACACGUGGGCAACCUGCCUCAAGGACUGGGAUAACUCCGGGAAACCGGGGCUAAUACCGGGCGAUGUCGUCUGGCGCAAGCCGGCCGACCAAAUGGUAGCUUCGGCCUCCGCCUUGAGAUGGGCCCGCGUCCCAUCAGCUUGUUGGUGAGGUAAUGGCGCACCAAGGCUACGACGGGUAGCUGGUCUGAGAGGAGGAUCAUCCACACUGGGACGAAGAUACGGCACAGACUCUUACGGGAGGCAGCAGUGGGGAAGGUUGCGCAAUGGGCGAAAGCCUGACGCAGCAACGCCGCGUGGGCGAAGAAGGCCUUCGGGUUGGAAAGCUCUGUCAGGGGGAAAGAAGGCACCUGGGUGAAUAGCCCAAGGGCUGACGGUACCCCCAAAGGAAGCCACGGCUAACUACGUGCCAGCAGCCGCCGUAAUAC